CCACAGGCAUGCAGGAACCAAAGGCGAGAUGAAACAUUAAUGUAGGACAAGCUUGUUUUAUAUAUAUAAAAAACAGAAACCUUAAAAAUCUUACAUGUGGAUUUCUAGGCUGUUGGUAUUUUGCCUUGAUCAUAUUUGGGGGAAUUGCUUUGAGGAUUGGAUGAGUCUUAAUGGCUACAGCUUGUUUGGGCUAUUAAUGUUAUGAUAUUCCUCUCUGUGUUUUUUAGACACAGCCUCAAGCAUUAAAGGUGCCAGCUUGGGUCCUGAAUUGCAGUGCUGGGUGAAGCUUUCCUUUUGCAUUCACUCUUUUUCCUGGCAGCCCCUCAAGCUAUCCUGAACAGGCUGGGCCUAUGAUGUGAAGUGAUUUGAUGGGGAACAGAUGAAAACUGAGCAUGAGUACCUGCCUAUCCCAUUCAGGAGAGUCCCCUACCCUGAGACAGGCAUUUGGGUGGUCAGUGGGCUGCCCAUCCCUUUAUGCUUACUCUUCUAUGGAUUUGAACAGUCCAGUUUUAUAAUCUUAGGUAAAGGUAAAAUUAGGUGAAAAAGGUAAAAUUAGGUCCAGUCGUGACCGACUCUGGGGUUGCUUCCGGGUCAUGUGGCCAGCAUGACUAAGCCACUUCUGGCGAACCAGAGCAGCGCACGGAAAUGCCGUUUACCUUCCCGACGGAGCGGUACCUAUUUAUCUACUUGCACUUUGACGUGCUUUUGAACUGCUAGGUUGGCAGGAGCAGGGAUCGAGCAACGGGAGCUCACUCUGUCACGGGGAUUCAAACCGCUGACCUUCUGAUCAGCAAGUCCUAAGCUCUGUGGUUUAACCCACAGCAUCACCCGUGUCCCGGAUAAUCUUGCACCUCACAAUUUGCCUUUUAAGAAUAGGUCUUAAAAGUACAGUAACUGUACAACUGAUUGAAUGUAAUAAAAUUCCUACUGUAUUGUUACCAAUGCUAAAUAGCAACAGAAUGGAGUAGCCAUAUAAAAAUUAGGAUUGCAGCCUUUGUUGAAACGAUUCACAUCUUUUUUUUCUAAUAGAUUGCACUACGUAUGUGCUUAGGUAAUAUUGGCUAAACAGAACUGUGACCACUGAAUUGUCAAACCUCAGCUAUCCCAUGCAAGAAACCAAAGUUUACUAAAACUACAAAGAGUGCAAUAUUUUGGAGAGCUACUGAUUGAGCAUGUCAGAAGCACAACCAGGGCACAACUUCCAAGUCACAACUCUCAUAUACCUGCAAUGGAAUUGAUGUUUUGACCUGAAAUGUGACAGAAUCACUUCAAGGAAACAGUGUGAAAUGCCACAUGCCUACUUAAUAAAGAGGUGUGAAAAGUAUUAAGCAGCCAUUUCUAAUAAUCUUUGUCUGGUUUGGAACAAAAAAGGUUUUUUUAAAAAAAGCAUAGAAUAAAAUGCCUUCCUUUAAAAAAAUGUGUACUGGUUUUCAGCUUAUAGUUCCAUAAGCAAUAGCACAAAUAACAACUACAACUGUUUUGUUGGUAUCUGUCUGUCUUGAGAGACAAUGGAGUGCGCCUCCAGGGGUGAAGUCAAACUGCUGCAUUAGCAGCACCAAAGUGACCUCUCAGGGGCAGAAGCCUGGGCAGUGUAUAUGGAAGUCCUGGGCUGCCCAGAUGACAAGACCCUCCUCUCAGCCUUGCUGAUGUGGGCCAAAGGAAAACACCAGCUUGGCUGCCAGAGUUGCUGCAAGGAGGUAAACAAGGCGCCAUUCAACUGUCUUAGAGGCUCCACUCUGGAUAUCUUACAAGGCUGAGGAGGUUUACGGCAAGUUUUCCUUCUUUUUGAGGGGCUACCUUCCCAGAUUGACAAGCCUCAUUUUCUUAUAGACAGAAGUUAUUCAAGGUUUGUCCCGUUUCUGUUUGUUUCCAGGACAAAUAGUAUAUAUCUAAGUUGUGUCUUUGAAAUAUGUCUUACCACAACAUGUGGCUUUGGUGGGCUUCAGACAUUAUCUCUUCUGUUCAUAAAAUUCAUAAAGCCACCCAUACAUCUUUUCAGUAUAGUCAUACCUCAUGUUACGUUUGCUUCAGGUUACAUUCUUUCAGGUUACGUCCUGCAGCGACCCGGAAGUUUUGCCUCUUGCGCAUGCGCAGAAGCGCAAAAUGACGCCACGCGCAUGUGCAGACGUGGCAAAUCGCAACCCGCACGUGCGCAGGGUUGCACCCUUUUCACGUUGCAAACGGGCCUCCGAAAUGGGUCCCGUUCACAACCAGAGGUACCACUGUAUUGUUUCUGGGCCUGAGGCCAGUGCUCACAUCAUAACAGAUGCCACAGUAUUAAAUGUAUAGAUUCUGCUGGUUUCCAUCUUUUUUCUCUUGUUGCUUAUUUACUUUUAAGGUGGACUCUGAUCAAAAACCCUACAGAAUUGCUGACAGGUCCAAUUUGUGAUGAAGGCAACUAUUUCUCCCGAGCUGGUUUCAAAACUGCAAGAUGGAAGUGAAAUUGACAAGAUGUGUGCAAUGAAGAGUCAAAUGCACUGGAUGGAUAGAAACAGGACACAAUUUUUUAAAUAAGGUUAAUAUGGAAAUUUAACAACCACACAUACAAAUAACCAAAUCAGGCCAGUGAUAGAGAAAACCUAGAGUCAUCUCUGGAGCCCCCCGGCCACCCGUCUGUACCACCAAAUGGCCUCCAGGAACAAAGGCAUUGAACUAUGGUUUAAACUUUUUGCUCAUCCUUGGUCUAAAUGAGACAUGGGAAACCUAUAGCACUCCAAAUGGAGUUGGACUACAACUGCCCUCAUCCCUAACCAUUGGCCGUGCUGGCUGGGCUGAUGGUACUUGCAGUUAGGGAUGCUAGAGAAUUUUGAUGGAAAUGGAAAUGGGAAUUUUGAUGGAAAUUGCUGUUGUUCGCUUAUUCAUCCCAUUGGAAAGGAAAUCAAUCUAGCAAUUUUUUUUCAAAGACACCGUUGAUGGAAUCUUUCGAGGAGUUGGAGAUGGCCUUGUUUCACAAGCAUACAGUAAGGUUGGUAGUACAAUAGCUUUGUAAACAAGCAUUUUGGUUUCCCUGCGAAUGUCCCAGUCCUCAAACACUCUGCACUUCAAUUGGGAGAAAGCCGCACUCGCAGAGCUCAGGCGAUGCUGGAUGUUGGCAUCAAUGUCGGCCCUUGUCAAAAGCCUUAGUCAGGUCAAUAAAUGCCAUAUGCAGGGAUUGGUUUUACUCUCUGCAUUUUUCUUGAAGCUGUCAAGCGGUGAAAACCAUGUCCACUGUCCCCCUAGAUGGCCUAAAACCAUUUUGGGAUUCAGGAAGGGUCACCUCGGAUAUUGUUAAAAGACAGUUUGCUAAGAUCCUUACAAUAAUUUUGCCGGCCUCGGCUGAUAGAGAGAUGCCUCGAUAGUUUCGGCAAUCAGUUCUGUCACCUUUUUAAAAGAGAUUGAUAAUUUUGGCAUCCCUAAAGUCUGUUGGGAUCUCUUCUCUCUCCCAGAUUUUUUUGAUGAGCUUGUGAAGUUGUUGUGUAAGUUCCAUCCCACCCACUUUGAAGAGCUCAAUAACAUUUGAGCAAUCUACCAUUCUGUGUGCCUGUUGUCUUUGUCCAUGGAGUUUUCUUGGCAGGGAUACUGGAUUGGCUUGCCGGUUCCUGCUCCAGGUGGAUCACAUUUGGUCAAAAUUCUCCACUAUGACCUGUCCAUCUUGGGUGGCCCUGCACGGCAUAGCUCAUAGCUUCUCUGAGUUAUUCAAGCCCCUUCGCCAUGGCAAGGCAGUGAUCCAUGUAGGAAGUGAGAGCUGGACCAUAAAGAAGGCUGAUUGCUGAAGAAUGGGUGCUUUUGAAUUAUGGUGCUGGAGGAGACUGUUGAGAGUCCCAUGGACUGCAAGAAGAUCAAACCUAUCCUUUCUUAAGGAAAUCAGCCCUGAGUGAUCACUGGAGGGAGGGAUCGUGAAGCUGAGGCUCCAAUACUUUGGCCACCUCAUGAGAAGAGAAGACUCCCCGGAAAUAACCCUGAUGUUGGGAAAGAUGGAGGGCACAAGCCGAAGGGGACGACAGAGGAUGAGAUGGUUGGACAGUGUUCUCGAAGCUAUCAGCAUGAGUUUGACCAAACUGCAGGAGGCAGUGGAAGACAGGAGUGCUUGGCGUGCUCUGGUCCAUGGGGUCACAAAGAGUCGGACACGACUAAAUGACUAAACAACAACAACCAUUCUGUAAUUUCCAGCAACUUGUAUUCAGAAGCAUUUGCUGCCCUCAACCAUGGAGGCAGAACAUUUUCCGACUGGGUUCUCUCUCAGCCCUCCCUGGAGAUGCCAGGGUUUGAAACAGGGAUCUUCUGUAUGCAAAGCAGAUGCUGUACCAUGGAUCCCUUCCCUGGGGUACUGCCUGCUUUUUUAAAGGGGGAAGUAUGGCUUGUCCUCAGCCCUUCCCCCUUUAGUAACAACUUUGUAUUGAUUUUUUCAGGGUGAGAGAUCAUGCACAUGAAAUGUGGAAAUGGGAUGGAACCGACUUCCUUGUGAGCAGAUGUGACAGGGACAUGAAUUAGAUUUAUACUGAUCUGUCUAUCCACUGAAACACUCUAUAAAGUGUUACAGCAAUGGUGAGUAUUGCUUUGAGGCAUCCCAUAGUCUUCUUAUGUGAACAGGCAGAGGAGGCAAGGGAAGGCUCAAUAUGAUCCCUCAAUUGAUUGGCCAUCGGUAUAGCAUAUAAUGGCUUUUGCAGUUUUUCUUAUGCUAACAUGUCUCCAGAAAAUGCUUCUUUAACCUAUUUGAAUGUAAAUAACAUAAAGAAUGUGG
rnacentral:lncRNA from 1 species